rnacentral:rRNA from 1 species
UACGUAGGGUGCGAGCGUUAAUCGGAAUUACUGGGCGUAGAGCGUGCGCAGGCGGCUUUGCAAGACAGAUGUGAAAUCCCCGGGCUCAACCUGGGAACUGCAUUUGUAACUGCAAGGCUAGAGUACGGCAGAGGGGGAUGGAAUUCCGCGUGUAGCAGUGAAAUGCGUAGAUAUGCGGAGGAACACCGAUGGCGAAGGCGAUCCCCUGGACCAGCACUGACGCUCAUGCACGAAAGCGUGGGGAGCAAACAGG